UGAAGGGCCGCGGUAUACUGACCGUGCAAAGGUAGCAUAAUCAUUAGUCUUUUAAUUGGAGGCUGGUAUGAACGGUUGGACAAGAGUCAAACUGUCUCAAUGAUUAAUUUAAAACUUAACUUUCAGGUGAAAAGGCCUGAAUUUUUUUCAAAGACGAUAAGACCCUAUAAAACUUUACAUUACUUGGUAAAUUUUUAAAUUGUAUGUUUAACUCUUUUUUGCCAUAAUAUGUUUCAUUGGGGCGAUGAUAGUAUAAAUCUAACUGCUUUAUAUUUUAACAAAAAUAAUUGAAUAUAAAUGAUCCUGAAAUAUAGAUUUAAGAAAAAGCUACUUUAGGGAUAACAGCGUUAUUUUUUUUGAGAGUCCUUAUCGACAAAAAAGUUUGCGACCUCGAUGUUGAAUUAUAAUACCCCUCAG
rnacentral:rRNA from 1 species